CAAAUACUCCACGGCCGCGCCGGAGUAGCAGGCGCGCCCGCGGCGCCGCCGGCGACCUCCGCUAGUCGCGUAGCCUCGCAUCCCGGCGAUCUUCUGUCGCUACUCACCGCCCAUAAGGAGCCAGGCUCCCCGCGCGCCGCUCGCAUUUUCCAGACCCUCCCCAGUUGCCGUCGCGGCGGAGCGACGGGAGCGGUGUCGCCGGAGACGGCGGGGGACCCCAUGUUGCGAGCGGAUGUCUGUCGCACGACGCGCCGGCGCCGCGCUGGCCUGCGCACAGGCUAGGGGCUCACCUCGCUGUCGUCUUCCUCCCGCACACCAACGUUCCCUCCCCUUAUCGCCUGACUGUGCCCCCGCGCGGUAUUGGUGGCCGGCGAAGCACCCGCGUCGGCGUCGCGGUCGUCUCUAUCGCUCUGGAUGUCUGAAUACACAUCGCGUAGAGAUGGUGGUGCGACUGCUAUGGCUGGCUGUGGAGAAUGGGUUCCUUCAAACAUUUUGAUAGGCAUAUGACUGGGUGACUGAUAACCUUAUGGUUGCAGUCGCAGCAGGUUCUGCAUUGACUGAUAUUCAGGCAUCGAGCAUAUGCUCAUCGGUAUUUCGGUUAUGUUCAGUGUGAUGUUUAGUUAAACAGGUCCACAAAUUUGUCAGAUUCUGCGUAUAAUUUUUUUGCAGUAGUCAUACAUACGUUUUGAAACAAAAGAGCUGACUUGUUAUUACAGCAGUUAAUCUUGCUACACUCGAAUUCAUGAUUGAUUUAUAUGUUUCGAUCUGUGCCUUGCUACAGUUGUUUGGAGUUCCUGCUGAUGGUCCUAGCAGUGAUGAUCAUGUGCUAACAUCCUUUAGUUGAUGAUUGAUUCCUGAAGCCAUCGGGGUUGGUGGCUCGGUGCAACUUGGCGCUACUUGGAUAUGUUUUCGUUAGCCUAGUUCUUGGAAUCUUGAUCCGUUUCUCGUGGCGGAUCAAAUGGUUGGGAGACCUUGCAGAUAGUCAGAAGGAUUAACCAACCGCAAGCUGGACGCUAUAAGAUAGACCGGAACAACCAACCACAAAGGCUGCACACUAUCAGUGAUUAUAGGGACAAUGAGCAACUAGAGGAACAUCGAAACACUGCCAGAGUUUGGGUGAGAGGGGUGCAAGAAGAUCGCAAGUUGCAAAGCGUGGUCAACUAGGCAUGACUUGUGAGGAGCAUGGAUCCAUAGAGAUCUGGUUCCUGCAAACAGUCUUGACUAGCAGAUGUGCAGUACUAGGACUCGUCUGCUGAGAACUUUUGAGUGUGGGAGCGUGGCAGGACUCUAAAGAAUGGCGGCGCCCGCGUGCUUCAGUGGAGGACACCAAUGGCGACGGCACGCUGCCGCCUCGCUUGCUUAUUUCUCGCGUCCACUUGGUGAAAGAUUAAGCAAGCAGACAGGCAAGCUGAUAAACAAGGAGCGGAUAGGCUGGAGAAGGGUUCAGUCAGAUUUGAUUCCGUGCCAACUGCUCGGCUCGCAUACUGAAUCUUUUUUUCCAGCCAGGUUUUUAUUAGUCUGGUCUCUGCAUACUGACUGAUCACUGAUCUGUGACUCACUGGAGUCAGAUCCGACCGAAGAAUCCAGAACAGAACACGUUAUGUUAUCAAUGGGCUGGAGCAUUAUUUCUGUCUGUCUGAAACA